AUGCCAUUCGGUGUUACAAAUGGACCAUCCACAUUUCAGUGUGUCAUAAAUUCUGUUUUCUCGGAUCCGAAUCGCAAGUUCGUCAUCACCUUCUUGGAUGACAUUUUGGUCUUCAGUCCUUCCCUGGAAGAGCAUGAGGAGCAUUUGCGCAUAGUCUUUGCCACUCUGCGCAAGCAUCAACUGUAUGCGAAGCAGUCCAAAUGCUCGUUUGCCCAGCCCAGCGUCGAGUAUUUGGGACAUGUGAUUUCUCGUGAGGGAGUCGCGACAGAUGCAAGCAAGACAAGGGCCAUGAAAGCGUGGCCACGACCAACAAAUGCAACAGAGCUGCGUGGGUUUCUCGGACUUACAGGUUAUUACCGCAAAUUUGUGCCUCGAUAUGGCAUUCUCGCGAAGCCGCUUACUCAACUCCUCACUAAGAAGGGUUUCAAUUGGUCUGAACAAGCUCAAACAACGUUUGAUCUGCUCAAGGAGGCGAUGGUGAACACACCGGUGUUGGCCCUUCCUGAUUUCAAUCGCCCGUUCUGGAUCGAGACCGAUGCGUGUGACACGGGCAUAGGAGCAGUCUUAGUACAGGAUGGUCACCCAAUUGCUUAUCUUAGCAAAGCCCUGGGUGUUCGCAAUCAACGUCUCUCCAUCUACGAGAAAGAAUUUCUCGCUGUGAUGAUGGCCGUGGAGAAGUGGCGUCCAUAUCUCCAGCUCGCCCCAUUCGUCAUUGUCACUGAUCACAAAAGCUUGUGUCACCUCGGUGAUCAGCAGCUUGAAACAGAGCUCCAGCGCAAGGCGGUGUCUAAAAUGGUGGGGCUUCAGUUUUCAUUCAAAUAUAGGCGCGGCCCGGACAAUGGCGCGGCAGAUGCGCUAUCCCGAGUCGGUCACCUGCUCUCAAUAGAUGCUUUGACAGUUUGCCAACCAUAGUGGCUUCAAGAAGUUGCAAAUUCCUACGAAACUGACAUGGACAGUCAAGAUUUGCUCAAACGUUUGGCAUUGAACAGUCCAGAUGAUCAGGGGUAUGAACUGCGACAAGGAGUGAUUCGUUGUCACGGCAAGCUUUGGAUAGGUGCCAACACCGCACUACAGACUAAGUUGAUCAAUGCAUUUCAUGCCAGUGCAAUUGGUGGCCAUUUUGGUGUUACUGCAACCUAUCAGCGCAUCAAGAAACUGUUUGCUUGGAAGGGUCUCAAAGCUGCAGUCGAAGAUUUCGUGCGCCAAUGUUCCGUUUGUCAGCAUGCAAAACAUGAACACCUGAAGACACCAGGCUUAUUACAGCCACUUCCCAUACCAACAGAACCUUGGCAUGAUCUCACCAUGGACUUUGUCGAAGGUUUACCAUCAUCCGAAGGGUACGAAGUGAUUAUGGUGGUAGUGGACCGCUUCACUAAGUAUGCUCACUUUGUUCCACUCCGCCAUCCCUUCAUUGCAGCUACUGUGGCAAGAGCAUUCUGGGACAACAUCAUCAAGUUACAUGGGGUGCCACACUCGAUUGUCUCAGAUCGUGACUGUAUUUUUACCAGUGCAAUGUGGCGUGCUCUGCUAGAGGCCGCCGGGACCAAACUCAGCUACUCAACUGCCUAUCACCCGCAGACCGAUGGCCAAAGUGAGCGUGUUAACCAGUGCCUCGAAAUGUACCUCCGUUGUGCCAUGCAUGAUACACCCAAGCAAUGGCGCAAAUGGCUUCCCACGGCUGAAUUCUGGUAUAACACUACCCAUCACUCCUCACUCAAUACAUCUCCUUUCAAGGCUCUGUAUGGACAAGAACCUAAUUUGGGAGGCUUGCCUACAAUCGCAACACACCUUCCUGAAAAUGCUGAUGCUGAUUUGGAUUGA
rnacentral:rRNA from 1 species